AUUGAACGCUGGCGGCAUGCUUUACACAUGCAAGUCGAACGGCAGCGCGGGCUUCGGCCUGGCGGCGAGUGGCGAACGGGUGAGUAAUGCAUCGGAACGUGCCCAGUAGUGGGGGAUAGCCCGGCGAAAGCCGGAUUAAUACCGCAUACAACCUGAGGGUGAAAGCGGGGGACCGAAAGACCUCGCGCUAUUGGAGCGGCCGAUGUCGGAUUAGCUAGUUGGUGGGGUAAAGGCUUACCAAGGCGACGAUCCGUAGCUGGUCUGAGAGGACGACCAGCCACACUGGGACUGAGACACGGCCCAGACUCCUACGGGAGGCAGCAGUGGGGAAUUUUGGACAAUGGGGGCAACCCUGAUCCAGCCAUGCCGCGUGCGGGAAGAAGGCCUUCGGGUUGUAAACCGCUUUUGUUCGGGAAGAAAUCCUCUGGGCUAAUACCCCGGGGGGAUGACGGUACCGGAAGAAUAAGCACCGGCUAACUACGUG
rnacentral:rRNA from 1 species